CACGUAGGGGACGAGCGUUGUCCGGAUUCAUUGGGCGUAAAGCGCACGUAGGCGGCUUCUUAAGUCAGGGGUGAAAUCCUGGAGCUCAACUCCAGAACUGCCUUUGAUACUGAGAAGCUUGAGUCCGGGAGAGGUGAGUGGAACUGCGAGUGUAGAGGUGAAAUUCGUAGAUAUUCGCAAGAACACCAGUGGCGAAGGCGGCUCACUGGCCCGGUACUGACGCUGAGGUGCGAAAGCGUGGGGAGCAAACAGG
rnacentral:rRNA from 1 species